rnacentral:rRNA from 1 species
UGGGGAAUAUUGGACAAUGGGCGAAAGCCUGAUCCAGCCAUGCCGCGUGUGUGAAGAAGGUCUUCGGAUUGUAAAGCACUUUAAGUUGGGAGGAAGGGCAGUUACCUAAUACGUGAUUGUUUUUACGUUACCGACAGACUAAGCCCCGGCUAACUCUGUGCCCGCAGCCGCGGUAAUACAGCGGGUGCAAGCGUUAAUCGGAAUUACUGGGCGUAAAGCGCGCGUAGGUGGUUGGUUAAGUCUGCUGUGAAAACUCCGGGCUCAACCUGGGAACUGCAGUCAAAACUGACUGACUAGAGUAUGGGAGAGGGUGGUGGAAUUUCCUGUGUAGCGGUGAAAUGCGUAGAUAUAGGAAGGAACACCAGAAGCGAAGGCGACCACCGGGACUGAUACUGACACUGAGGUUCGAAAGCGUGGGGAGCAAACA